rnacentral:lncRNA from 1 species
GCUGGUGUGCAGUGCUGUGAUCUCAGCUCACUGCAACCUCCAUCUCCCAGCUUCCAGCGAUUCUCCUGCCUUAGCCCCCUGAGUAGCUGGGAUUAGAGGCGCCCGCCACCAUGCCUGGCUAAUUUUUGUAUUUUUAGUAGAGACAGGGUUUCACUGCGUUGGCCAGGCUGGUCUCAAACUCCUGACCUCAAGUGAUUCUCCAGCCUCUGCCUCCCAAAGUGCUGGGAUUACCAUGCCUGGCCUGUGACUGAGUCUUAGGUGAUGGAAUGUGAGUGGAAGUGAUACACAUCACUUGUUGGAACUUCAAUGCAGAGGGUUGAAGUAAUAUUCUUCAGUUGAAGAGACUAAAACAACUUUACCAGAUUGAAACACUCAAGACAAAGGAGCCCAGGAAGCAAAAUUCAUCAGAAAAUUAGAGGAAGUUUUCAUGGAGUUGCUGUUGAUUCUAAGGAAGCCAACAGCCGUGUUGUGAGUACCCAAUGGAUAGUCUGUUGUGGCAGAAAACUGAUGUCUCCAGCCAACAGCACUGAGGCCCUGAGACCUGCCAACAGUCAUGUUACAUCUCAAGGA